rnacentral:rRNA from 1 species
AUACGGGGGAUGCAAGUGUUAUUCGGAAUCAUUGGGCGUAAAGGGCACGCAGGCGGUUCUGUCAGUCAGAUGUGAAAGCCCGGGGCUUAACCCCGGACGUGCAUUUGAAACAGCAGGACUUGAGUAUGGUAGAGGAAAGCGGAAUUCCUGGUGUAGAGGUGAAAUUCGUAGAUAUCAGGAGGAACACCGGUGGCGAAGGCGGCUUUCUGGACCAAAACUGACGCUGAGGUGCGAAGGCGUGGGUAGCGAACAGGAUUAGAAACCCCAGUAGUCC